UCAACUUUUUCUUCUCUUCCUCUUCUUUUCUCUGUUUGAUUUCUCCUUUUGUUUUUCUCGAUAGAUUGGAGGAUAUGUUUUUCAUUUUGCUGGAUCUAAUUACUGGAAAAGGGCAGCCAGAGAAGCUGCAAAUUUUGUGUUUUUACUGAUUGCUGAGAUCUGGGUUUGUUGGGAUGUGGUUGUGUUAUUAUGUAUAUCAAUUGAUUGUAUUUUAGGGUAUCAACAACUAGGUUUUUAGAGGUUGUUUGUGGUGGUUGAUUUUUUUUUUUUUUUUUUUGCAUAUAUGUUGCCAUUGAAAUUCUACAAGAAGGGAAUAUUAUCGGAUGGAGAAGUGUAGAUAUGUAACCCUUGAGCUGAUAUCUUGAAGCCUAAAGUUACAAAUUUUGAAUUUCAUUUUAUAAGAUUUAAUUUUUUGAUGUAAUCUGAGUCAUUGGAUCAUAGUCCAAGUGGUAUCUUCUCUAGCCUAGGAUCUAAGUGUUAGAUUAUGACAAGUGGAAUCAUCUCAUAGGAUGAUAGGAUCAAAGGCUAGGAUUUAAUCUUGGUGUAAAUCUGUUAGAGAAGCAUCUCACUUCUCUCUCUCUCUCUCUCUCUCUCUCUCUCUCUCUCUCUCUCUCUCUCUCCUAACAGAUAUAUUUGAAUAGUGGAGUGAAAUGAAAAAUAGAACCCUUCAGUAUUUUUUGCAGCACCAUAGUUGCAUUUUGUCUGCAACUUUCCUUCUUUCCAAACACUCAAAAUCUCCAUAAAACUAAACACAAAAAGCUAUGAAUUCUAACAUGGCCUCAGAGCUAGAUUCGGUUGCCUAAAUUGGGUAUGAAUCUGUGAACAGAGAAUUGGAAGAGCCAGGUUUGGUUGCCUAAACUAGGCGUGAAUCUGUGAACAGAGAAUUGGAAUCAAUUCGAGCUGUGCUCGAGCUCAUUCAACGAUCGAGGUGGUGUGAUUUCUUGAAUCCAAUGUCUAAUAUAAUAUGGCAGGAUCGAGCACCACUGAGCUUAGCACGCCAAUUUUCAAUGGAGAAAAUUAUGAGUUCUAGAGUAUUCGGAUCAAAACCAUUCUGAAAUCUCAUGGGUUGUAGGAUCUUGUUGAAAAUGGUUUCGAUGCUUCAGAUCCAAAAAAGGAGAAGAAGAAGAUAGAAGAGAGUGAGGUCGCUGAAGUGGAGAAGCCUACGAUGGCUGAAAUUCUGAUGAAGGAUGCUCGCGCACUUGGGUUGAUCUCAGGUGCCGUCUCAGAUCCAAUGUUCCCCAGAAAUCGUGAACGAGGAGACCUCAAAGGGUGCUGGGGACAUUCUGAAGCAAAAGUUCAAAGGAGAUAAGCAAGUAAGGAGUGUAAAAUUGCAAGGUUUGCGUCGUGAAUUUGAAUACACUCGUAUGAAAUAUAGUGAGUCCUUAUCUGUAUACAUUGCUAGACUAUUCGAUAUAAUGAAUCAAAUGAAGAGUUAUGGUGAGGAUCUGUCUAGGGAAAGAGUUGUGCAAAAACUGUUGAUUAGUUUGCCUAGAUCAUAUGACCCUAUUUGCUCUAUGAUUGAACACUCUAAGGACCUUGAAACUUUUGAGGUUCAAGAGGUAGUUGCUUCUCUGAAAAGCUUUGAGCUCAGAUUGGAUAGACAUGCUAAAAACUCUACAUAGAGGGCUUUUGCUAGUCUAAAUGUUAGAGGUAAAAAUCCUACAGGUGGAAGUAAUUCUGGAAAUAAAAAAUCUCAGAAAAACUGGAAAUCCAAUGAAAAGAAAUGGGAUAGUAAGCCUAAUUCUACUUCUAAACCAAAUGUCUCUAUUAAUGGAAACAAAACAGCUUGUAAACACUGUGCUAAACUGUAUUAUGGAAAAUGUUGGUUUGAAGGGAAGCCUAAAUGCACAGGUUGUGGGAAGUUUAGGCAUGUGAUCAGAGACUGCAAUGGAAAUAAACCUAUACAAAAGGUGAACUAUGCAAACUAGGUUGAAGAAACUGGUACUUUGUUCUAUGUAUGUAAUGUUGUGACAAAUGUGAAGGUGAACCAUUCAUGGUACAUUGAUAGUGGUUGGAGUAAUCACAUGACAGGUGAUGAAAGGUUAUUAGUUAACAUUCAAAGGAACUUGACUUCCAAGGUGAAGAUGGGAACUAGAGAAAUUGUUUAGGUUGCAGGAAAAAGAACUCUGGAGAUAGAGACCAAAUUGGGUCGAAAACACAUACAAGAAGUGAUGCUUGUUCCAGGACUUGAGGAGAAUCUUCUCAGUGUUGAACAAAUGAUGGAACACGAUUAGGGGUGGCAUUUUUGACCGAAAAAUUAAAAAACCGCAAAAACCAACCGACAUUUAACGGCAAUGGAACCGUAAUCGUGGGAAACCAAACCGCAUUUGCGGUAUGAAGAACCGAACCUCAUUUGCGGUUGCUGUUGCGGAAUUUGAUUUUCACAACUUGCGGUUACCGCAAACCGCGACUACAUUUUUAAAAAAAUAAAAAUUACAUUUUAUUAUUUAAUCGUAGCCGUUGUAUAACAAAACCACUUAUCUUGUAAGUAAUUAGUUUAUUUAUGCUUACGUUAUUUAUGCUUCUUUUUAUAAUAAAAUGUAUUAAACUUAUAUUGUUUUAUUUGUAGAUAACAUUGGUGCUCAAACAACACAAUGGGGUCCUUCAAAUCUACUCACCACCACCAACACUUGAGUUUGUAACAUUGGUGCAUUGCAUUUUCCUUUUAGUUUGUAAUUUUAAUUAACUUUGAAUUGGAUAUUUUCUUUGGGUUGUAACUUUAAUUCAUUUUGCAUUGCAUUUUCCUUUUGGUUUGUAACUUUAAAGGAUUUGGAAUUGGAAUGCUAGAGAAGUUUAACUUUAAUUGGAAUGCUUGGAAUUGUAACUUUAAUUUUCUUUAGGUUGUGGAUGCUUAAGAAGUUGAGGAGGUUGUGAAUUUAUAUAUGCUUGAGAAGUUGAGGCUGUGAAUUUAUAUUUUUGGGAUAAAGUAUGCUUGAACUCAAAAUACUUCAAAAGAAGCAUCAAAACUAGGCCUAAAAUGUGGAAGAUUAGAUUUUUAUGACACAAAAAGAACUUGCGGUUUUAAACUGCUAGCAGUAAACCGCAAAAUGCGGUCGGUUUGCAGUUUCAAAAAUUACCAUACCGCAAAUAGUUGACCGCAAGUUCUUUUUGUGUCAUAAAAAUCUAAUCUUCAAAACUAGGCAUAAAAUUACCAUACCGCAAAUAGUUGACCGCAAGUUCUUUUUAUGACACAAAUUAUUUGCAUAAUUUGAUAAGUGCUGCAGUGAGCUAGGAAUUCAAAGAUAGUUGACUGUGGCCUACACUCCUCAACAAAAUGAAGUAUCGGAAAGAAAGAAUAUGACAGUGGUGGCAAUGGCCAAAUCAAUGUUACAUGAAAAGAACCUUCCAUAUGAAUUUUGGGCAGAAGCAGUGAACACUACAGCUUAUUUGCUUAAUGGGUGUCCUACCAAACCAUUGAAUAAAACAACUCCAUUUGAAGCUUACAGUGGCAGAAAGUCAGGGAUCGCUCAUUUGAAAGUCUUUGGCUCACUUUGCUAUGUGCACAUCCCCUCUAAUCUCAAGCAUAAGUUGGAAGAAAACAAUCGUAAGUGCAUCUUUGUAGGUUAUGGUGCAAGUAAGAAAGGGUACAGGGUGUUUGAUCCAAGUUCCAGAAAGAUCAUCUUGUCCAGAGAUGUACUCUUUGAUGAGAAUGCUAUAUGGAAGUGGGAGAAAAUUGAUAAAAGUGAAAUGAGAGUCACAAUGAUUGCUAAGAAUCAAAUGGCAAACUGCAGUAAAGGACAGAAGCAAUUUGAAGUCUGUGAACCAAGUCAAUCCUUGGAUACAUCAACUCAAGUGGAUGAAGUUAUUACACCACAGAGUGAGGAUAUGUCUGCAAGCUCUCAAGCAAUUGAUCACACACCACAGAAAUGGAGAAGCAUUAAUGAGAUCAUGGCUCAGUGUAACAUGUGUAUUGUAGAACCUGAGAGCUAUUAAGAAGCUGCUAUAGAUGAGUCAUGGAAAAAUAAAAUGAAAUCUGAACUGGAAAUGAUUGAGAAAAACAGCACAUCGGGGUAGUACAAAUAGAUAAAAACAUUUUUAUUCACCAGAGGAAAUAUGCAAUGAAGCUCAUUGAGAAAUUUGGAAUGAAAGAUUGCAAAACUAUGGCAACACCACUAGUUGUGAAUGAGAAGUUAUGCAAGGUAGAUGGCAGUUAAGCAGCAAAUGAGAGUGAAUAUAGACAGGUUGUAGGUAGCUUGCUAUACUUGACUGCUACAAGGCCGGAUAUAAUGUUUGCUUCUAGCUUACUUGCUAGAUUCAUGCAUAACCCCACAAAGAAGCAUAUGGGAACAGCCAAGAGGGUGUUGAGAUACAUUCAGGGUACUCUUGAUUUUGGAAUUGAAUUUGUGAAAGCAAAGACAACUACUCUAAUGAGGUACUGUGACAGUGACUGGGCAGGAAGUGAGGAUGACAUGAGAAGCACUUCAGGGUAUGCCUUUACCCUAGGAUCUGGUAUGUUUUCAUGAGCAUAGAUCAAACAAAAUACAACGGCAUUGUCCACUUCAGAAGCGGAAUAUGUUAGUGCUGCAGAAGCAACAUCACAGGCUAAAUGGCUAAUGUUUGGGCUUGAAGAUUUUGGAGAGGAGCAAGUGGAAGGCACACCAAUUCUGUGUGAUAACACCUCAGCCAUAGCAAUGGCAAAUAAUCUAGUUCUUCAUCAGAAAACUAGGCACAUCAGUCGAAAGUUUCAUUUCAUCAGAGAAGUCAUUCAAGCAAAAGAGAUCGAACUUGUCUACUGCAAAACGGAAGAUUAGAUUGCAGAUAUAUUAACCAAGGCCUUGCCAAAGGAUCGAUUUGCUUGCCUAAGAGGACUGCUUAGUGUGAAAUCAGCUAAAGGGUUAGAAGAGAGUGUUGAUGUGUAACCCUUGAGUUGAUAUCUUGAAGCCUAAAGUUACAAAUUUUGAAUUUCAUUUUAUAAGAUUUAAUUUUCUGAUAUAAUCUGAGUCAUUGGAUCUUGACAAGUGUAAUCAUGUCAUAGGAUGAUACGAUCAAAGGCUAGGAUUUAAUUUUGGUGUAAAUCUAUCAGAUAAGCAUCUCACUUCUCUCUCUCUCUCUCUCUCUCUCUCCUAACGAAUAUAUUUGAAUAGUGGAGUGAAAUGAAAAAUAGAACCCUUCAGUAUUUUUGGCAGCACCAUCGUUGCAUUUUCUCUGCAACUUUCCUUCUUUCCAAACACUCAAAAUCUCCAUAAAACUAAACACCAAAAGCUAUUUAUUCUAACAAGAAGAUUGAAAAAAAAAAUUAGCUAGAAUUGUUUGCCGGUCCAAAUCGGGAAAACUGGAAAUCGGUCCAUGUUGAUUUCAUUGAGUUAUUAAUUUUUUUAUCAAAAUCGGACCGAACCAAAUGAACAUUAUGAUUUUGGUUCUAAAAUUGACUGAGAAUCGAGCCCAACUUGACCGUGGCCAGCACUACUUGCUAAUUAAAAGCCUGCUCUGAAACUUGAUUAUAAUACUAAGUAGAAAAUUAUAUUAGGGACGAAUGGCAAAUUCCAUGGCACUAAUCAGUGGAGAGACAACACAAAACCUUUCAUCAUUAUAGAACAUAUGGAUUUGCAGAAGAAUAAAUAUAACAAAUAUAAUAAUUAAAUAUAAAAUUUUGUUCUAAGAAGUUUGUAAUCUGGAACUUCAAUUAACAAAAUUAAUAACAAAUUUAAAAACUAAGACCACCUAUUCGGAAUGCAGAGGCUAACCACACACUGACGCAAAACUUUCAUCUAUAUCACCCACAUCAAACAUAUAUUUGAUGUGGUUAGGAUUCUUAUUAUAAGUUUUUUUUUUAUUUAAAAAAUAAAGAAAGAGAAACUUCAUUAAUUUGCCAAAUUACAAAAAAAAAAACCCCAAACUAUAGGAUUAUUUUCAAAUUCAUACCCACUUUAGAUUUUGUUGGCAUUCUAGUGAGGGUGGUGACUGGUAACCUCCUUUGUAAAAAGUAGUACAACCAGAACAACUGUAAAGAAAAAGAAGGAAUAUGAGAAUGAAUAAAGAAGCCAAUAAUUUGGGGCACUCAGCUUUAUAAAAGUGGCUUCAAUAAAUAAAAUUUAAUGAAAAUAAUAAUUUAAAAGUGGCUUUCACCUGCACCUCUCCUCCCACUUCCCAAGCUCUGCUUGUUUUGUUCUUUUUCUUUUCUUCUUUUGGGUCGAAACAGGGAGAUUGCUUUGUUAACGUUUUCUUCGUCCUAAUCUUGACUACAGAGGUGAACUCAAACUGGUAAGGCUUAUGGAUUUUAAUCAUGUAUGCAAAAAUUUGUUUCUACAUUUGUUGAAAGAUUUCAUGAUUUAUUGCUUUCUACAUAUAUUAGAAAUAUAUAUGUUGUGACCAAAUUUUUUCAAAAAAGAAAAUGCUUAACUUUAAUUAAAAUGUUUUGAAUUUGAAGGAUGAACAGAAAGAGGAGAUGCGGUAAUCUAAGUUUUGGUGGAAGAAGAAGAAGCCUUUUGAACUAGUUUGAGAGCACCUCCAUAUCCAUACAGCAAAGAUGCUACCAGCAGUUGAGAAACCGCGCGAUCAAGUGGCGAUUCUAAUCGAGGGUAAAGUGCAAGAAAUGCCCUCAUUUUGGCCAAAUUGUUGUAUUUACAAAGUCCCUCAGAGAUUUCGCAGGGGAAAUGAAGAGUUCUAUGAACCCCUGGUGGUCUCAAUCGGACCUUAUCACUUUCACCAAGGCAGUUUCCCACAAAUGCAAAUCUUUAAACUCAAAUACUUAGAGGCCUUCUUGGGCCGAAACCAUCUCAGCUUAGACCAAUGCCUUGGCCUUGUGAGAACGUGGGAAGAAAUAGCCAGGCGUUAUUACGCCGACCCCAUUGACCUAAGCAGUGAUGAGUUUGCCGAGAUGAUGCUGGUGGAUGCAAUUUUUGUCUUGGAGCUUUUGCUCAGGGCACGGUUUUCCGAAUAUGUAGACGAUUGCGAUCGAAUAUAUGGAAAGCUGCGUAUGAUUCAAGAUGUUUUCCAUGAUGUCAUGUUGACUGAGAACCAAAUUCCCUUCUUUGUUCUUCAGGGUUUGUAUGACCUAGUUGAUGCCAGCUCCAAAGGAAAUCUCAAGUUGGUUGAGCUUACGCAUGUGUUUUUCAAUUAUUAUGCAACGUUUGGUGCUGAUCAUCUACAUGUGCCUGGAGUUGACCAUGGAGUACAGCAUUUUGUUGAUUUUAUACGAUACUACUACUUGCCCCCACCGCCUAGGGAGGAUGUAUAUUACGAAAUUUUUGAAAGCCCUAUCCCACCAAGCGUGACAAUGCUAGACGAUGCUGGAGUUAAGUUUGCGCAUACAAGCAAAACCUUCUUGCUUGACAUACAAUUCAUAAACCGAGAUCUUGUAAUUCCGAAUUUGACAGUAGAUGAUUGGACGGAAACUCUGUUCAGGAACAUGCUCGUCUUUGAACAGUGCCACGAUCACCACACGAGGUACAUUUCACAAUUUAUAUACUUCAUGGGGUGCAUGCUCAGGACUUCAAAGGAUGUGGACUUGCUCACUGAACGUGAAAUUAUAUCUAGCGGGUUGGGGAGUAACGAUAAGUUGUGCGCUCUAAUUGACCGAAUUGGCCAAGGGGUUGGCUUCGAUGCGGGAACUUUUUAUUACCGAAGCCUUUGUACAAAACUCAAUGCCUACUGCAAGGUCCCUUGGCACAAAUGGAAAGCAAAUUUGAAGCGCGACUAUUUCAACACUCCAUGGAAACUUGCUUCCACCAUUGCAGCAAUUAUACUCCUUGUGCUCACACUCAUACAAACCAUAUGCUCCAUCUUAUCCGUAUAGCUUAAUUAGGUCCACGGUCAGAACUAAAGAUUAAGGCCUUGUGUAUGCCCGUAUGUUCUUUCCAAGUGUUAAAACUGAAGUAAUUUUGUUAUGCCAUAAGCUUAUGUUGUUCUAGGUUGUCAACGGGUAGUGGAAAAGAACCUUAGCUUGCAGAUUAGUAGUCUCAAGUUCGAACCCCCAUGGCACCUUAGCAGUGCGUGUGUGAAAAAAAAAACCCCUCCCCUUCCCUAAUUUCGAUUAUUUGUUCUAAGUUUGUAACAUUCGAAGUAAAAUAGUAAGGUUAUUGUGAUUGUCUUUAUUUUUCGAUUAUGUUCUAUAGUUUGGCUACUCUACUCGAGAUUUCAAAUCUCCCCAAUAUAAAGUCAAUUAUUAAAUGAAAUUAGUUGUUGAUUCGUUGAGUAAAGAGGUUUUCACCACCAAGCAUAUUUGAUUAUAUUUGAUUGCUAGGCUUUUGGGGUGAUCAUUCUCAGGCUUUGAACUAAUUUGUGGAACGAACACACAACCAUGGAAGUGAUUGCUUCAGAAUUAGUUCCAUGAAAGUGAUGCCGAAAAUAGAUAGAUAAAUGGUGGGCAAAUGAGCCGUAGAAAUUGAUGGCACAAUGAUGAAAAAUGAAAUCGUGUGACAUGCUUUUCAAUGUAUUAAGUAGUAUUAUCUCUUAUUCCUCAAAAUAAAAAGUUAAAUCCACCCACAUGAAAAUGAAACUUGUCUCACCAACACCAGCCACGGUAAAAGAAAAGAAAUUAGUGUUGAUGCGAAAAAGUGGUUCGGCACGUAUUUCGUCAAUUUAGUUAUAUUAUGCUUUUGGCAGGUGACUAUCCUCGGAAGAUGUUCUACUUCUGAAGGGUAAGUACCUGCAAAAGGACGCGUUCGGUAAGUCCUUGGGGUACCAGUGUGGUACCUGCCGAAGGCUCUCCGAUGCUUUAGUAAGUACGGUUUUAAUAAUAUUAACUGACAGAUCAAUCGGUAGCGUACCGUUCGGUCUGAUCUCCUUCCUUUUGGGGAUAGGGGUCUCCUUAUAUAGGUCUUGGGAGGUGUGCACUAUGCUCAUAUUUCCGAUGUGGGACUGUGGACAUGGAUUGUGAGCUUGACACGUGUCCGACGGUAAAAAAGGACAAGAUAGGGCUUCGGUAGAAAGCAUACCGAAGGCGUCUCUGCAGCCAGAAUCGAUCUUGUCCACAUGUUCGGUUGUCAUAGGCCGUUUAUCUCUGGUAUAAAUAAUUAGUAUUAUUAUUUUUAAUAUCACAAGAUUGCAUUUUAUUUUAUUUUUGUCAUUCGUGGUCCUUAAAGUUAGUAUAUGUGCUCACAAAUGGUCCAUGCUGUUAGGUUCUGUCAAAAACUUUGUCAGUUUGCUGACGUGGCAUAUAUAUAUAUAUAUAUAUAUAGGGGGCGGAUCCAUGGCACCAUAUUUUUUACACAAGUUUUGACACAAUUUUUGGACCAUUAGAUUACUUCACUUUUAAUGGUUGAGAUUAAACAUGACAUGACAAAACAAUUUUUUUUUCUUUAAUUAAUAUUUAUACAUUGGGAUUAAAAUUCAGAUACCAUAUUAAUUAAGAAUUCAUUCUCUCUCAUCUCAUUAAUUAUCAUUAAUUAAUUCAUUCUCUCUUUUUCUUCUACAAAGAAUUGAUGACAAAACAAUUUUUUUUUCUUUAAUUAAUAUUUAUACAUUGGGAUUAAAAUUCUGAUACCAUAUUAAUUAAGAAUUCAUUCUCUCUCAUCUCAUUAAUUAUCAUUAAUUAAUUCAUUCUCUCUUUUUCUUCUACAAAGAAUUGACGCCUCCUCCUUUUCUCCUCUCUCUCUCUCUCUCUCUCUCUCUCUCUCUCUCUCUUUUCCCCAAAUCAGCUUCUUAAUUAAUAUUUGCAUUGUGGUUUCAUUUCAUAUUCAUUUUCCUCCUAAAUUUCUUCCUUUCACUUUUUUUUUUAAUGUCUAAAAGGUGGAAGACCUGAUUGCCAUCAGAGAAUUUAUUCAGUGAAAUACUUCAUUGAUCAAAGCUAUAGGCGGACCUGACUGGUUUCAUAUCAUUUUCAUUUGCCGAUUCAAUUAAGGAACCGAGGCAGAUAGAACCAGAUCAAUACAAGAGAGAGAGAGAGAGAGAGAGAGAGAGAGAGAGAGAGAGAGAGAGAGAGUAUAUUACCAAGAAAAAAUGGAUAUUAUCAAUAAGAGAGAUUACGUUUUCAAGAAAAAAGGGAGAGAGAAAAUUAUUUUAUUUUAUUUUUAUGAGAGAGAAAAUAAAAUUAAUGAUUGUUUAUUUAAAACAUUAAAACUAUUUGUCAUGUUAGAUUUAUUCUCAACCAUUAAAAGUAGAGUAAUCUAAUGGCCCAAAAAUUGUGUCAAAACUUUUGUCAAAAAUAUGGUGCCACGGAUCCACUAUAUAUAUAUAUAUAUAUCACAAAACAUCCUGAGGUUCACACACCUAUUACAAAUUAGGGCUAGACAAUUAAACCAUCAACUCAAAAAAUCGGCCGAACCAAACCGAUCAGAUUAGUUUGGUCUGAUUAUUUAUUUGUUAAUUAUUUAAUAUCGGGUUUUGGUUUACAAUUUGAGAUUUUAAAUGAACCGGACCUUCACUAUUGGCAAGCCAAAUAUUACAAAAAUAUAUAUAUAUAUUUUGCAACAAUGGGGUUCAAAAACCCCACACCUCCAGGUAAGAAUUAUUCUUGCUUUCCACUGGAGCAAUCAAGCUUCUUGUGUAAUCUUUCCAUAAAUAUGAUAUAUAAUUAGUUACUCCCAAUAAUAAAUAUUUUUAAAAAAAAAAAAGUGAGAGCAUGCAAGUAAACAUUAUGCAUGCACAUCUGCACUGAAACCAACGUUCUAAUUCUUUUUCUUCUCCUCAUAUCUCACCUCUCUCUACGCCCUCAUUUUUUAUUUUUUUUCCCCAUCUUCUUCUUCAUUCAGUCACUUUCCAUCUCUCCCUCUCUUUUUAUUUAUUUUUCCUUCUUCUCUUUCUCUCUCUUUCUUUUCUUCCUCCUCCUUCCCUCUUUUGCGUUGUCUCCCAUGUCUCUCUCGUUUUUCUAUUUUUUCCAUGCUCUCUCUUCUUUCUAGGGGUGGGCACUCAAACCGGCGAACCGGAAAUCCGAGCCGAACCGCACCGAACCAAACCGGAAAAAAACCGAGUUGACCAAAAAGUCAAAAACCGGUCAAAAACCGAACCGGACCGGUUUGGACCGGUUCCGGAUCCGGUUCCAUGUCUUCAAAAACCGAACCGGGCCGAACCGAACCGGUGAAACUAAAAAAAUAUAUAAUUUCAAUAUAUAUUUAUAUUUAAUGCUAUAUUUUUAAUUUCACUAAAAAAAACAUAAUAUUUAUCCAAGUUCAAUGUCAAAAUCUCUCUCUUUUCUCACUUUAAUAUUUAUUUUUUAUAUGAAAUUGAAUAAUUUGUUAAUUUUCAAGUAAAAAAAUAAUAUUUCAGUUGAGAAUUGUAUUAAAAAAUAAUUUAAAAAAAUAAUUUUUAUAAUCCGGUUCAAAACCGAACCGGAACCGAAACCGGACCGGAACCGGUUCAAACCGAACCGGACGGUUUUUGAAAUUUUUUUUAUUAAAACCGAACCGAACCAAACAGAAUGAAUAGUAUCGGAUCGGUUCUAAUUUGAGGCAAAAACCGGUCCAAACCGAACCGUGCCCACCCCUACUUCUUUCUAUUGUUUUCCAUCGCUCUCUCUUCUCUUCCUUCUUCUCCGUCUUCUUCCUGCGGUCUCUGUCUUCUUCUUUUUCUAUUUUUUCCCUUCUUCUUCUUCCUCUCUUCCCUAUCUCAAUCUCUCCUUAUGUCUAUUUUUUCCCAGCCUACUUUUUCUCUCUUCGGCCUAAACCCGAAACCGAACCAAACCAAAUCACAAACUUCGGUUAACUAGAAUGGUCGGUUUCACAAGUUAUGGUUCGGUGCACGAUUUUCAAAAUAGCUAACCCGAAGCCUUCUGUUCGGUGUUCAGGUUGAGCCUAAAACCGAACCAAUCCAGACCGAGCCCACACCUAGCACAAAUGGUCCUUGCGAACUUUUUUUAUUUUUUCAUUUAAAAUUCAUAAAAUUUUGGUUUUCUUUUUAAAAUUAUUUUAAAACAUAUAUUGUAUUUUAAAUACACAUGACACUAUAUUAUCAUAGAUGUAGGCUCCAUAUAUAUGCCACAUCAACAAACUAAUGAAAUUUUUAAAUGAUCCUCAAGGUUAAAAUCCUUCUAUAAAUAAGUUUUUUUAUAUUCCAUCUCCAUUGUAAAACUCUGUUAUCUAUCUCUCAUUUCAGGAUUUGAAAUAAGAAUCUCCAUAAUAUUAGUUCCAUUAAAAUCUCGGUAAAAUGAAAUUGCCAAGCCAAGAUGAGCCCAUUAGAUGAUUCUGACCCAUACAGAACAUCUGAACUAAAAAGAUUGGAUAAAAUACAGCCACAUUUCAUAUGCAUGCCACCUCUGGUAUUUGGAAAAGUUUGUCUCCCUGAUUUGUGGUCUUGGUGAAGCUCUCACAUUUAUCUAAAAUGCCGGGAGUGUAAAUUCUCUCUCCUCCAAAAAAAAAAACAUAAGAUUUUGCUGUGGCCACUAAAUAAUAUGAAAACUUCUUUACAUUUGAUUAUAGUUGAAUAUGAUGAAUAGGGUAUACUUAUUAAAAUAUAUUUAUUUUACAAUUCAAUAUAUCUUAUUUGUUCAUUUUAUAUUAGGAUAAAUUAGUAAUUCAAUAAAUACUUUAGUAGUAGGGUGUACUCAAUUAAUUUUAGGGUUUGUUCAGUAGCACUCUUCAGUUAAUCAUAUUCUAUCUGCUAUCAAACCACUGUUGUUGAGAACUUCUAGUAGUUGUAUUUUCUGGUUAUCAAAUUCUAGUAGUUAUUCAUUACUCCCAUUUAGCAAAUGUUAGUUGCAAUCAAUUUCAAGUUGCAACGACCUCUACUCUCUAGUAGUUAUUUAGUUUUACCCCUCUCGUUUAUAUUAAUUAUCUUUCAUCCAUUCUUCAUUCCCAUCUCUCUCUCUCUCUCUCUCUCUCUCUCUCUCUCUCACAUAAUCACCCUGGCAACUUUCUAUACCACAUUACAAGCUUUGAUUAAUUCCUCUUAAUUAACCAUGGAAAUUAAUGCAAAAGCUCAACACCGCUCAACCACAGAGCCAUUGCUCCCAAUUUCACGCAACCCUUCAAACCCAUCGUGUCCAGUCAAUCGCAUCCCAAUCCAUUGCAAGAUUAGUACACGUCCACCGCAUUCUAUUACUUGCAUUAGGGACAUUCACAUUGUUAUGCGUCUUCAUGCUCCCGCCCACACAGACCCCAAAAAUCCAACUCGACUCACUCUUCAUGUCCAAGCUUAACGUUUCAAACACGUCACUAGAGGCCAAUUGGGACAUGGCCUUCACCGUAGAAAACCCCAAUAUGGUCUCUUGGGUUUAAUUCAACCGCAUAGAGGGUUCAAUUCUGUACAAGGGCAACCCUCUCGCGACAUACUCUGUUGAGCCAUUUGACUUGGGAUUGAAGGAACAAAGAUUGAUGCGUGUGAAGAUAUCAAGGACCGGAUUACAGGAUGAGCCGGAGAUGAAGGUGUCGGAUUUGGAAGAAAUGAAUAAGCAACGUGAAGAUGGUGCUGUGAGUUUGAAGAUGGAAAUGUUUGCAUGGGCUACGUAUAAGAAGGGUUGGUGGGGAACAGAAGAUGUCAUGAUGGAGGCUCACUGUUUGGAUUUGAGGGUUGGUUUCUUGCCUAAAUUUGGGUUCGGUUGCUGUAUCAGCCUAAGGCCGAUGACUUGCUCUACUGGUUCGUAUGCUAGUUGGUUAAAUCGGAAAGUUGUUGAUUUUUUCUUUAGGCAGGACUAGGGUUUUUAGUCUGAGAUUGUAAUUUGAUGGAUGUAGAUGAAGCCUGUAAAUUAUGAACAAGGAAGAACUUGUCUUUUCUUCUCAAGGGAAUGCAUGCAUCAAAAUUGGAGACAAUGUCAACAUUCUUUUUUAUCUUUAUCCAUGUGUAAAUUGAAAAAGGAUAUCACAAUUACAAAACCUUCCACUAAACGUUUGUGGCUAUAUUUUUAAUCAAAUCAUAAGAAAAAAAAAAUUCACCACACACAAAGAAAUUGAACAUAUAUAAGAUCUCUAGAAUGGUGUAUACUUCCGUGUGUUUCGAGAAUAUAUUAUAUAUGAAACUCUUUUUCAUUAUAAAAUUUAACAAAAAGACGUAAAUUAUAAAAAAUUAAAAAUGCACGAACCAAAAAACUUAAGUGGUACCUAGUCAAACCUCGUCCAAUCAAACUCACCAUCAACUAUUAUAAACUUAGGUUGGGUAAUUUUUCAAUGUGAGACAAACUCUCAACAAACCCAGCCAAUCAAUCUGAGUGAGAUCGACUAACCGAGAGAGAGAGAUGUUGAGAAAUGUUUUGGCGGAACAGAUUCUCCAAUUUUGGAAACACAAUUUCAUUCUUUUGUUUUCACUUUCGAAAAUAAUUUGUGAAAACAUUUCCAAAAAAUGGUGCCGAACUUUUCUACAUUGAUAGGGAAAACAACCUUAAUGAUAGUGUUUGGUCUACUUUUUACUCAGAUUAUAGGUAAAGACUCUCGCUCCUAAUUAUAUGUGUUUGACUUGGUUUAGAUCUUCCAUGCACUGUUUUGUCUAAUAAAUUGAAGUGCUAAAAAGAGCAUUUUAAUUUUUUAAUUUUUUAAUUUUUAUUUUUUUUUGAGGCGGCUUAUAAAUGUCAGAGAUGGCCCCCUUGAUACUUCAACAAACCUUGCAACUCAGGUAAAUCAUGUACGAAUAUAUUCGUUAAUUUUUUUCUCUCACGUAUGAUUAAGUAUGUAGGUUGACACUUGAACAACCUUCUAUUUCUAGAGUUUUCGCUCAGCUAACCAUUUUAUUUGUUAUCAAAUGACUGACAUUUAGAAAAUCCAGUAGUUAUUCGUUAGUCCCUUUUAGCAAAUGUUAGUUGGACUCAGUUUCUGUUUAUAACCUUCUAUUCUCUAGUAGUUAAUUAGCUUUACCCUUCUCCUUUAUAUCAACUUUCCUUCCCCCAUUUCUUCAUACCCAUCUCUCUUUCUCCCCGAAACCCUAGUAAGCUGGAUUAUUGCAUCACAAGCAUAAGUUUCUAUUAACCAUGGAUUCUAAUAGAACAGCACAGCGCUCAGCCACAAUGCCACUACUCCCAGUUUCAUACAACCCUUCAAUUUCAAACCCCAACAUAUCUCUGUCUAUCACAUCUCGAUUCACUGCGAAACUAGUACUUCUCCACCGGAUUUUGUUGUUCGUGUUAGGGAUCGUCACGUUGCUAUGCGUAGCCAUGGCCACAUCCUUAGUUCCACAGCCCCCGAAAAUCAAACUCAACUCUCUCUUGGUGUCGAAAAUUAACGUCUCAAACACAAAGCUAGGGGCCAACUUUGACGUGGCCUUCACAAUAGAGAACCCUAAUCUAGUCUCGUGGAUUUACUUUGACCACAUCGAUGGUUCGAUUUCUUACAAAGAUAACGCUCUCAUAACAUACUCGUUGGACCCUUUUGUACUGGGAUUGAAGGAACAUAGAAUGAUGCGUGUGAAGAUAUCCGUGAAUGGAUUACAGGAAGAUCAGCCGGUUGUGAAGGAGAGGGUUUUGGAAGAAAUCCAUAGGCAACGUGAAGAUGGUGCUGUGAAUUUCAGCCUGGAAAUGUUUGCACGGGCUACGUAUAGGACCGGUUGGUGGGGGACAAAGUCUGUUUUAAUGAACCCUCAAUGUUUGGAUUUGAGGGUUGGCUUCUUGCCUAAAGUUGGUUUCGGAAGCUGGAUUAGUGGAGGGCCUAUGACUUGCGCAGUUCCAAUGCUAAUUGAUGACUAAAUUUGAAUUUCUUUUCCCUUUUUCAAGUUACCUAGCUAGGCUUUUUGGUUUUAGUUACAAGGGAGCCUAAAUUAAGCCUUUUAAUUGGAGGUUGUAAUGUAAUGUUACUAUCUAGUAGGAUCUUGCAAAUUAAAAGUAGAGUUGAGCUUUGUUUCCAACGGGCACUAAAAAAAAAUCAGCAAUAGUCACCUUUUUUUUCCGUGACUUUUGAAAGCAUUGGUCACCUUUAUUGGUAACUAAAAGCUUUAGUAACGAUGCAGCUACAAAUUUUGAGUUGGUGAGAUUUGUGACCAUUACUAUUGGCCUUUAUCACCAUUAAUAAAGAAAGUGACAAACAAAAUGUUGACUUUUCAGUUACCUUUACACUUAUAUUUUUUUAUUUUUUUUAUCUUUAAUUAGUUUAAUAAUUUUCUGAAUUAUAUAUGUUUUAAAUAAUUACAAUUUCCUUUUGAUAUACUUUAAUGGCAUAAUAACAAUAAUUCCUUUUUUUUCUUUUUUUUCUGAUAAGAUAAUAAUAAUAAUUCCUUGAUAAUGCACUUCAUGUGUAAAAGAGGCCUCUAAUAUUAUUAUUUAAUUAAAUAUAAAUACUCAAUUGAUACAUAAUGGUAAUUAAGUAGUACAAUAUUUUCCUAAUGAAUACAAAAUUUGUACAAUCCUAUGCAAACAAUAAUACAUACACGCCUAAGAAGACCUGUAGCUAGUACUUUCUAAUCCAAGCACUCCUCCGAUCCUACCAUACAAACGAAUGAAGCAACUGAAGUGUCCUCCAUUCCUGCAAUUGAAGUGUCCACCAUUCCUGUAAGUAAAUCCAAAUGACAAAGAAUGAAAUUAAAGAGUCCCAAGUACUAGAAGUUAGUAGAUAUUCAAGCUUAAGGAAUUACAACCUCACCCUCUUCUUUUGUAGUUGGUAGCAUUAAACGUUCAUUUGUCUAUGGUGAAGGGAUCUGAUCAUUGUUUGUAGUGAACUAAUAGUAGUUCACAUAUCAUAGUUCAAGAAGAAGUUAGAGGUAGAGCAAGGGCAUAGUUCAAAUAGGGAAAGAAAGAGAAAAGGGAAGAUCAAAAUAAAAUAAAAUCUAAGAAAAUAAAAAUCUUGUAGUAAUCUAAAUGAAUAACCCCAACCCACCAAUGUUCAAGGGAAGAGAAACUCAGAUAAAAUAACAUCUUUACAACUCAGAAAUAGAAAAGGUGAAUUACAAAGAGUAUAUUAAUAAAAUAGAAUAAAUUUAAACGGACCUGGGAAUAGAGGUGCCUCUAGCAAUUCCACUGCCCCUGCAGAACUUGAUCUUCCUACAUCAUAGAAUAUCAAAGAAUAUAUUAAUAUAUAAAAAAGUAGAAAGAAAAAAACUUAUACAUAAAACAAAAUACAAGGAAAGUCAUGACUGAAGCAAGCCCUACUCUAGCUCUCAGAUCUGAGAUAUAACAUCUCAUAUUUGAGAUUUAAUCUAAAAGGACCUCCCAGAGCCAAAGAAACUCGCUAGAAAAACUAGGGAGAAAUAACAAACUCUGUCAAAAGCAAGGAGAUAACCAAAAAAAAUGGAGGGAUCGGGGUGAAAACCACCGGAUCUAAAAAGAAAAAAGGGGUUGCUGGGUUGUUUUGAGAGAGAAGAGCUUAUAAAAGAAAAGGGGUUGCUGGGUUGUUUUGGGUUGUCAAAAGCAAGCCCUUUAGAAAUUCAACUAGAUCAAGUAAUCUCACACUUUAAAGAAAAUGGGUUACUUUAAUGGUUAACCAAUGUAAUAUUUAAUUCUUUUUUUAUACGUAUUUCCAUUUUUAAUGUGUUCUAUACAUAUUUAAUUGGAUUACUAUUCUCAAGGAAGAUUAUCCUCAAAUAUUAUAUUUAACAAAUUACUGCUAUGUGUCAGUUGGUUUACAUUUAUUAUAUUUAAAUCAAUAGUCACCAAUUCUUUAAAGUGUGAGAUAAUUAGUCACAAAUAAUGGUGACUAGUAACCAAAGUCAUUAAUCACCCAUUCAAAUGUCACCAAAACUAUUUUGUUGCUAUAAAAAUGUGACUAAUGCUUUCUUUUUUUGUAGUGGGGAAUCUAUCAAAAUAGAAGUAAAGUUAUAUACGUACAAAUAUUUUGGUGAUAUUGUCUCAUGGAAGACGCAUAAAACCAUGUCUCUGUGAAAUUUUUAGAUGCUUGUAAAAAGCCUCUUCUACGUGGAUGUAUUACCUAAACUUGAUCGAGGACACUUUUUAUUCACAUACUAAGAAAUAUUUUAACUAGAUGCCUUCAAAAUAUAGUUAACUAAAUAGAGGCCUUCACUACACAUGCCAAAAUUUAAAAAGGAACAGAUGGAUUUGUGGAAUUUGGACAUCUAAUUCUAUUAUAUUUGUUUCUGUAUAAGCACUACAAGUUUGAAAUUGGCACAAUAAACUUUAGAUGAACUCUCAAAAUGAAACCGUUUUUGGGGUGUUUUGUUGUGCACUCUAGCGAUGUGGAAAUACUCGCUUGACCUAGUUUGAUGUCGAAUUACUUGGAAGUAAAUAGCUUUGAAGAAAGUUGAGGUUGAAACUUAAGUUUGGAUACUUCAUAAAGAAAUUUGGCUUUAAAAUGACUAUGGGUGCUUAAAAUCCAAUCAAAAUGGCCUAAACUGACUAAUCCAGUCCAAUCAAAUGCACUUUUGAUCAUUUUGAAGGCCUUAGGCAGGUUGAAUAUAGAUAGUUGUGUUCAUACUUUUUUGCUCUCAUACACGUGCGAUUGAAUAAAUUUUGAUUAAUUUUAAGUCAAUCAAAGUUAUGUUUAGUCCAUUUGAGAUCCUGUAGGGGCUUUUUCUUUUCGGCAGCUACUGUGGGCCUAGGCUGCUGUAAAGAGCUAAAUGUGUAAAAAUUGUCUCUGGGUCUGAGUUCAAGAAUUAGGCCCCGAGAAUGCUUCGAAAGGGUAGCUAAGCCUUAGGAAGCACCUUGGUUACCUUCACUAACAAAACUAACAGUUACUUACAGAUAAAUUCUUAGCUUUGACAUGAUAGACUUGUGGUAUGGAAGCAAAGCAAUCAUGAGUUUAGCAUUGAAGAGAGAGAGAGUUGUGAGUUCAUAUGAGAAACAUGGGUUCUAAGGAGAAGGGGAAGGGAUUCUAAGUGGGUUUUUUGAAGAGAGAGAGGGAUGAGGGUAUAUUAGGUGUGUUGAGUAGUUUCCGGCAGCUCGAUGAAAACUCUGUCAAACUUUGGAACAGUUUACCAAAAGGAAAAAUGGGGAGAGAUGGAAGGAGAUGAGGCUCGAAAUUGCAGAGGUUUCAGAGGUGAGAGAUAAAACUUGCUUUCCAGAUAUGUGUUGUUUGGGAUAAAGAAGAAGGAGAUAGAAGGUGAGGCACUUGGGCUUGAUGUUUCCAGCAGUUGGAGAAUAAGCUUGCUCAACUGCUCUGGUUGAGUUUAAUGAGUAGGAGGUACCUUCUUUUAUAGCCGCUAGAAGCUCCUCCUUCUCAAGAAACCCUAAUGGGUUCUCUCCAAUUUUGCCAAGUCUCCCCUUUCACCCCUUUCAUUUCUCUUCUCUCCCUUCGAUCCAUCCCAUUUUGUGAAAUUCUCUUCUGCCCAAUACUUUAUCAGAUUUUUGGGAAUUCAGAAGUUUUCCCGCAGCCAUUCCAGUGGUGAUUUCUUAUUUUUGGCUAUCAUCUCUCAUCCUUUCCUCCCUUAUUUCAUGGCAAGAUCUGGUAAAGGAAGGAGAUAGGUAAAUUUGGCUAGUCUGAAGGCUGCCUUUUCUCUUGCGCGCACCAAUAUCCUCUGGUUUUUUGAGCGAUCUGCCUUAAGGUUUGUUUUGCCCACUUGCUAGAGCCUCCCAGCAGUUCACAUACAUGGGCAACUUUGGCUUUUGUCUUGGCUUUUGUCUCCAGCUAAGUGAUGGAGAUUGCAGAUAUUUUGCUUGGUUGCUUGGGCCUUCCUAAGGUGAUGGGUUAACCCAUUAAGGGAAUGGGCUAAUUUCCUAAAGUGAUAGGCUAUUUUAUUGAGAUGAUGGGCUAAUUUUUCCUAAAAUAUUGGGCUAUUUCUCUCCUUUAUUCUUACCCACAUAUUUGAGCUCAAGAAAUGGGCUUGAGUUUUAGGGCUCUCAAGCAACCCAAAACUUCCAUUUCUCGGCUCAUCAAUAAGCCUCAUGAAAGCUCAUUACCAUCCAUACCACAACCCACUCAGCAAGCCCCGAGCAUUUUUCAUGGCUUGGGCCCACUUAAACUUGUAGCGUGGCUAGGUAAAUAAUAAUGAUUUUUCGCUUGGCAUUGCAUAUCGUUUGGCAUGCUUGAAUUUUGUCGCUUUGAAGAGGGAUAUGAAGCUUGACAGGAUAAUUAGCUUGGGGUCGUAAAGCCAGUGCUUAUUUCAACUCUUAGCAUGACAGAUUACAUAUUUAUUUGGCAUGGCACGUGGAUCAUGACUCGUGCAAGCGUGAAUGACAAACCUUCGCGUGCUCCAAAUCAGGUCUUUUUUUUAAUAAAGCAUUGCUUUGGGUCGGAAAUUUAUUUGGGUCAACCCUGAAUUUUUUGGGCCUCAACAGAUCCAAAACACUCUUACUUACAAUUUAAUUUUUACUUCACAUUCAUUUAUAUAUAUGUAAUUUGAUUAGAUAAUAUAUUGAAUGCUACGUCACCAAUUAAUUUAUCAAUAUUCACUCGUCACAUCAUAUUUAUUUUUAACAUCCUCAACUUUCUAAUUUAGUAUUUGUGGUAAUUCAAGAGCCACCGCAACAAUUUCGUCCCAGCAUCACGCUGCUGCCACCACCUGCCACUCCCCAACGGUUAACCAAACAAUGUAUAAGUUCAGGUUAUGAACCGUUGCGAAAUCACCGUGAAUUAACUUCAUUUGCUUUAACUAAUGAUGUUUAAUGGAUAUCACUAUUCAAGCAAACUAACAGUUUUAUCGGUUAUCAAAUUAAUGAAGUUUAGAAAUCUUCUUUCGCAUGUUUGUUAGAAUCUAGUUAUUCAGGUUUUUAACCGUUUUUGGUAGUUAUUUAGUUUUUUUUUAACAAUCUCUAGUGGUUUACAGUUUCCAUGGCCUUCUACUUUAUAUCCCAACUCUCUCACACAUUUCCACAAACCCAUCUCUCUUUCUCUCUCAAUUUCCUAUCAUCAGCCGUGGAAAUUAAUGCAAAAGCUGAUCAGCACUCAGCUACCAUGCCCCUACUCCCAGUUUCAUAUAGCCCGUCAAACGACAACGUUUCGCAGUCUGUUAAAUCAAGACGCAUUUCCAAAUUAUCCGUCUUCCAACCCAUUAUUCUAUUAUCACCUACAUUAUUAAUAUUUGGGACCUUGGCAUUGCUGUGCAUUUUCAUGUCCUUAUUGUCCCAAGUUCAUCCACAAGCCCCAAAUGUCCAACUAAACUCGCUCUUCAUGUCCAAAUUUAACAUCUCCAACACAACAUUGGGGGCUAAUUGGGACAUGACCCUUACAAUAGACAACCCCAACCUGCUCACAUGGGUUCGUUUCAACCACAUCAAGGGUUCAAUGUCGUACAAAGAUAACAUCCUCGCGAUAAGCUCCAUCGAGCCAUUCAUGUUGGGAUUGAAGGAACGAAGAACGGUGAGGGUGAAGAUAUCGACGAUGGGGUUGGGGGAAGAGGAUCGUGAUCAUCAGCUGGUGGUGAAGAAGAGGGUUUUGGAUGAGAUGAUGAGCAAGAGACGUGAGGAUGGAGCUGUGCAUUUUAGCAUGCAAAUGUUUGUUUGGGCCACGUAUAGGACUGGUUUGUGGGGGACACAACAAGAUGUUGUGAUGAGCCCUCAGUGUUUGGAUUUGAAGGUUGGGUUCUCGCGUGGAAUUGGGUUCGGGAGUGGGAUUAGUGGAGGGCCUAUGAUGUGUUCUGUUCCUAUAUUAAUUAAUUGACCAAAUUAGACUUUUUCUUUCUUUUUUCAUGUAGAGGUUUUUAGUUUUAGAUUGUUAAUUUGAUCGAUGUAGGAGAAUCAAAAUCGAACCUGUAAAUUAAGAACAAAGAAAUGAAUUGUUUUACGCAUCAAAAUUGAAGGUGAAUAUGAACGUGAUGUUAUGAAAUUCUUUGAUGAUCUUUGUCUGGACUUGGAUAAAUAAAAAAGUGUAUACUAGUGAUUUAUCUUAUGAAUUUGUACUUAACUUUUGAUUUGCCCUAUCUUUUUUUUUAAAGAAAAUUAAGGAUAUAAACUUUUUUUUUCCGUCAAUUUCUCCCUUACCGUCUAAAUCCACAACAUUUCAUCUAAUUUGUCGUUAAAUAUGAGGGCAAAUUGGUCAUGUUGUACUUCUAAAAUAAAAUAAUUUGAACUUUGAAAUAAUAAUAAAUAAUGAUAGGAAAAAAAAAGGUUUUUUUUUUUUUUUUUUUUUUAAGAGUAGAGAAAAUGUCAUCCUCAGACUUCCUAUUAGCCUCUGAAUUUCUGCUUACCAACUCCACUUCCUAUAAGCUUCAUACCAACCCCUUUCUUCCCCAAAAUUGAACACAUCCCAUACAACAACACCAAAACCUCCACCAUAUAUUUGAACAAAAUCCCCCAUAUGUACUUAUUUGAACACACACAAAAAACCCAGAUCCAUUUGAUCAAAAAUCGCACAAGGGGCAGAGGGGUUGUGGUGAGGUGGGUGAUUUUGUGGUGUCAGGGAUGGACCUGGGGUUUGGGGGAAGAGAGAGAGAGUGUGUGAUGGUUGUGGGGUGGUGGCUGUGGGAGGGUGAGUUGUUGAGAGAGAGAUGGAGAUUGCGAUGGAUAAAGGGGUGGUCGUGGGUUUAAGGGUGUGUUGUGAAAAGGAAGGCAGCGACGGUGGGAAGGGGGGAUGGGUUGCGAAUUAGUCUUGGGGUGAGUUGCAGGUGGGAAAUGGGUAGUCAGGUUGGGGAAGAAAAAGAGAGAAGGGAGGGGGGUUCUGUGGGUAGGAUAGGUUUUUGUUUUGUUCCUUUUUUUUAUAAUUUUUUCUAAAAAUAUAAAUUUUAUUUUAAUAAUUUAACUGAAAAUUGGAUGCAAUGUUGAUGAUUUAGACGGUAGGGAGAAAAUUGGAGAAAAAAAAAUUUUAUAUUUUUAAUUUUCUAAAAAAAAAAUGAUAGGGGGUCAAUUGAAACCAAGGUAUAAGUCAAGGGACAAAUCACUAGUAUACCAUAAAUAUUUCACUACAUAAAUGAAAUAAACAGAAGAUUUCUAGAAUUUACACGUGCUCUUACAGAAAUUUCAUUAAGUAUUUGGUGUGCAAAUGAAUUUUUAUUAAUUUACUAGAGUCACCCUGAAAAUAAAAUAAUUAUCAGAAUAUAACUCAAAUUUAAAUCUCCUUUUUUUCUAUUAAAAACAACUAAUCCUCCUCGUAAAAAUAUUUACUCUCCUCAUUGUUUUUCGGUUGGAUCCUCCACUUACAUUAUAAUUGUAAUUUAUGCUAAUAGGGUCUAGUUCAGUUAAAAAAUACUUUGAUUUGCAAACUAUUGGUCUCAAGUUUGAAUCAUAUAGCACCGUGAUAGGUCUAUAUGAGAAACCCCACUCUCUAUAGUUUGGACAAAAAUUAUUGAUAUUUGAUCUAUCCUUUCAGAUGUACUUGACUCUUUCCAAACUAUUUGCACUUGUGAAAGGACACGAACUGCAAACAUCACUUCGUUUUACCAAAGCCAAAAAACGUCUUCAACCACCACGCGUAUAUAUCCUUCAAAACAAAUAAAAUAAUUGCCCUGCAAACGCAACUUGAUUUUAACCGCUGCCAUCUUCCCUCAUUUGUUCCUCUCUUCUCCCUCAUCAUCUCCACCUUUCUCCCAUCCAUUAUAAAUCCUUAAAUUCAGUAACUUAUAAUUAGUACUGGGAAUUUUGCUUCACAUAUUGGAUUGAUUCAAGACCAAGGAAACUUAGCAUCACAAGGUACGGCUUUCUUUCUCUAUCUUUAAAUUGUUAUAAACUUCGUCUGGGUAAAAUUAAGUUGUCAAAAUCAGUAAUUUGGUGAACGGUUAUAAAAUCCAAGUCUUGCAAAUUGUCUCUUUGAUUUGUCCUCUUGAAGCUUCUUAUUUGAUUAAUUAUACCAAGUGAGUAAUCUAUUUGGAGAGUGUCUUACAAGUAUGUUUGUAGCAACAAAUACCCUGCAAUACUGCAUUUAAGAACAAACUACCUACUGCCAACGGGGUCUAGCCUAGUGGUAAAGGGCCUUGACUUGCAGAUCAGAGGUUUCAGGUUCAAAUCUCACGGCAUCAUAGUAGUGUGUGUGUGAGAAAUCCCCCACCCCUGUAGUUUAGACCAUCACUUGUACUAAAAAAAAAAAAAAACUAUUGAACAAACUACCUACUACAUUUUAUUUCUAAUUUCUUGUUAGACUUUUUAUAGCUUUGGCCGAUCACUCUUUUUUUUUUCUUUUUUUUUUGGUUGUGAAAUUAGUAAAAUAGUAUUUUUAAAUUGAGGAAUUAACAAUUUUAAUUCGGUCUAUAGAUUAUAUUAAAAAAAAUGAUGUUCUAACAUGUUAUAUAUUGCUAGACUACGAACCACGAGUAUUCUCUUUCACUGAAUAAUCGGUGAAAAUUUCCCUAACAUAUCCAUCUUGAACUUUGUAUUCUCUCUUUCAGGAAGAGUUAUGCAUGGCUUCUUUGUGGUGCAAAAAGUCUCCAGAUUGCAGUAAAAUUCGUGGAUACAUCCUGCUUUUUGUUAUAGUGGUGAGUCUAGCAACAGUCAUCGGAUUUUCUCUCUGGUUCUUAGGCAACUAUGUGGAUUCAAAGUCCGGCCCAGGAACAGACCCCCUUGUGCUUCGUUUGGAUGCAUUUUCUCUAUCGAAUUUCGAGGUUUCGAAUUCAUCAUUCUCAGCUGAAUGGGAGGCCAAGUUGACAUUUGGGAACCAAAACGGUGGCCUAACUGUUACCCUCAACCCCUUUGAGAGUUAUGUGUUCUAUAAAGAACGUGAGGCUCUAUCAUGUGCUUCUGUGGAUGCAAUGUUGCAUGUUCCUCCAAGGAAACAGAAAACUCUGCAGAUCAAAUUUGAUCCGACAAGUUGCGGAGGAGAACAGCCGUAUGUGGAGGAUCGAGUGAUGAAGGAGUUGAGUGAAGAUCGAAAGAGUGGUCACCUUAGCUUUAGUUUGAAAAUGCGCAUAGAUGCUUCUUAUAGUAUGAGGGAGCUUUUGGGAAUGGGAACCCAAGUGACUUUAAAUCCUAACUGUUCAGGGUUGAAGGUUCAGUUUGAGGGUGCAAAAGGGGAGGGAAAGAUAAAUGGGGGCCGCAAGUGCACCAUUCCAUUACCUAAAUGAUCAUGCAAUUCUUACCGUAGGUAAGGGCCGGCUCUGAAAUUUUAAGGGAUUAUAGCAGGCGAAGAUAAGCUCAUGAAAUAGGAUUAAUGUAAAUUUCGUAUAGAUAAGUUGUUUAUUUCAAAAAAAUUGAGUCCUUUUUACUUGGGCCAGAGCACUUGAAAAAAGUAGGCAAAGCCCAACUUGUGAGAAAUUCUUGUGAUUUAAAAGUAGCAGGUUUUGCUAUAUAAGGAAUUAUUAACUCAACAAGUAACGGAUGUCACGUAAAAGGAAAUCAAAUCAAUGUGAUUUAAUUUUCUGGUUUUCUUCUCAUUUUAAAUUUUAAGCACCCUUGCAUUAAAUCAUUGAGUUUAUGCCAAAGGAUGCCAAUUAGCAUUAACACUGAGCUUAUCCAUUUUUGACCUCCAUGAAUUAAUGACAUAAAUUUUUUGAACCAAAAUGUGCACUGAUUCUCUGAAUUUGACUGCCAUUUCAAUAUUAGUUUUUCCCAAUACUCUCCCAUUCACACCUUAACUCAUUGCAGAAAAACAAAAAUGGGCCCUUUGUGGUCUCGUCGCCACAAGGCACUGGCGGAAGAAAUGUCCUUGAAAUUGGCUGCUGCUACAAUCCUCAUCACAUUACUUGCAUUUGUCACCACCGUAUGCUUGUCGUUGAACGGCGGCGUUCGAACAUAUCCCAUUGCCAUUGCUCAGCACUCUUUCUCUGUCUCAAACACAACGAAACUCGUCUCUGAACUGCAGAGCGCUGUUUGGGAUGCAGAGUUGAAGUUCAGCCAGAACAGUGAUCUGCAAGUUCACAUCAAACACUUUCAGGGCUUCGUGUACUACCCGAAAUUCGAACCGCUGUGGUGUGCCUCACUGAAGCCAGUGGACGUUGAGUUCAGGAGCCCAAAUGGGCUGCACAUAAGAUUUGAUAUGAGAGAGUGUGGGGAGGAAGGGCUCGGGGUUUCGACAGAGGAAGCUCUGAAGGAGGUUCGUUUGGAAAUGAAAAUGGACCUGGUUGUGCCUUACCAGUUUGGAAAGACCAGAAUUUGGGCCUGGCUUUGGGGAUUGAGUGUUGAAGAAUCUUGUUCUGAGUUGAGAGUUGAAUUUGUGUCUUCGGUUGGAGAGGGGAAACUGAUUGGUGAGGGAGGAUGGUGCUUUGUUCCAUUGCCUGAGUAAUUUUGAGUUAUGAUCAACUCAUGCCAAUCUAAAUAAUCUUUGUUUUUGCUUCCCCUUUUAUUUAAUUUUGUUUUGUUUCUCCUCUAAAUUAUUACCUCACAGAAUUAGGCAUCAAGCAGACAGACACAAAGAAGAGAGUUUGAGUCUCCACUCUCCUCUCUUUUUUUUUUAAUACGCAGAAAAGAAAAAUAUGAAACUGACAGGAUCACCCUCCAUUCAUACUGAAGGAGACGAGGUUACGUGACUUUGCAGUUUUCAUAGUGAAGUUUGAAAAGGGUCAAAUAAUGCCAAGAUUUUGUCACUUUCUUCGUUUCAAUGUUAAAUGUCCUCGAUUAUCACAAUCAUGAUUCAUCACGCCUCGUUUACUUCUUUAGCUUUUAUUUCCAUGUUCGAUUAAUUUCUUAAUCCCUUCAUUUUCUCCCUUGAUUGUUUCCUUUAAAUAUUCUAGUUUACCAUUUUUAGUAUAAUUCUCUUGUAUUUUUAGUUUUCCGUGUUGGAUUAAUUUCUUGUAUAAAUACUGAAUUCUGCUCCCAGUAGCGCUAUGGGCACCAACUUUUUUUAUCAAUUUUUUGAUACCAACUUAUGUAGCAACUGACAUGGCAAUUCAAGUCAUUUGCCACCUCAUCUAUUUUAUUUGAAUAAUUUAAAUUAAUGCACAUAAUCUAUUUUAAAUUAAUUUAUUUAACUUUUAUAUAUUUAUCUCUUCUCAAGUCAUCUCCAUCAUCCAUUCCCAGCCAACAGCUCCUCCAUCGUAGCACCGCCACGAUCAUGAUGAUAGCAAAUUGAUGGUUACGUUUAUAGAUGAUAAGAUGAUGCUCAUCUCUGAUUUUGGGUUUUGGACAUUUAUGGUUCCUGGAUUUGGUUGAGAGUAUGGCGAGGAAGAAGAAUCAAAGGAGAGUAAAGGCAUGAGCAUAUAUAUAUAUAUAUAUAUAUAUAUAUAUAUAUAUAGUUCUGAUCUUUUGGACCACAGGAGUCCAAGAAAUUUGUGGUCACUCACCGUUGGAUGUAAAUUCAACGGUUCACUCACUCUUGCACUCAUUUUAAAAAACUUUUUUCAACCAUUGGAUUAAUAUCCAACGGUAGAUAACCACAAUCUCUUAGACUCCUGUGGUCCAAGAAAUCAUCGGGACUAUAUAUAUAUAUAUAUAUAUAUAUAUGAAUAGAGUUGGUGAAUCAUAGGAUCUUAUAUGCAGUCUCACACCGAUCACAUCCCAUAUAUUUGGUUUUUCUUUGGAUGAUAAUCACUGGUUUUCUUUGAACUUGGCUGGAAAACUAUUAUUGCUUUGUUGAUUAUUAAUAUUAUUGUAAAUUCUACAAAACAACUAAUUACGUUGAUACUAUGAUUGGUAUGAAAACAUUGAGGAUUUAACAAAUCAGUUAAGAGAGGUGUGAUGAGAGCUCUUCAAUGGAAGGAAUGAUUAUUGAGUUUCUAGGGCUUUUUUGGGGUUGGGGAAGGGUUCACCGUUGAACCAAAACUUAUGGGUAUUUUUCUUUCUUUUUAUUUUGUUGGACAAUUUCUCUUUCUUUUCUUUUUUUUCUUUUUUCUUUGUUCAGGAACAAAAUGUGUAAUUAAAAAAAAUGACAUGGCAAAUGACAAGGAUUGCAAUCUCAUGUACUACAUCUAUUGGAGAAAUUAUAGAAUGCUAUUGUAUUACCAUGUCAGCUAAUUAUACUUCCAUUCAAAAUAUGUCAUACGUCAUUUUAAAAAAAGUAUAAUUUUUUGUUUUACAGCUGGACUUUUGCCCUCUAGAAUAAUAUUUGAAAAAACAAAAAAACCAAAGACGCCGGAAACCAACUCCCACGACAACUCAAAUCUUCCUACCUUGCACUACCAACCACCCAACCCAAUCGCCCAAGGGUUUUGAUUGGCCACCUGGUUAAUCUAAAACAAGAACCACAUAAAGAAAUAACUGGAAAUAACAAUAACUGAUUAUUCCCUUUGUGGUUUCUGUACAAAUGAUUAUCAACAAACCAAAAAAAUAAAAUAACCAGCACACUAUAGAAACCUGUCGAGUCCCUAAACGAGCUUCAUAAUCCAUGGACUAUUGGGUUGGUGGAAGAAGUGCGAGGAUGGGGAUUGGGUUGUGGUGGGAGGUGGUUUCGAGUGGCUUCUUUGGGUUUUUCCUUUUCUAAAUUUUUUUAAUAAAAAAGUCUUAUUCUACAGUUAAAAGAAAGUAUUAAAUUCAGCUGUAAAAAAAAUUAUAAUUUUUUAAAAAAACAUGAUAUAUAGCAUAUUUUGAAUGAAAGUACCGCUAGCUGACGUGAUAGUACAGUAUCAUUCUAUAAUUCUCCAUGUGUUGGUAUCAAUUAAUUGGUAAACAAGUUAGUGCCCGUAGCAUUAUUGUUUUGCUCCUUUCAAUUAGGGAUGAGCAUUGGUGGAUCGAACAGGUUUGGACGUUACACAUCAUGUGAAUCGGAUUUAUAACCACCGAUACAUCGACAAGUCCAACUCAGUUGAUUUGCGGGUUGGGUCAGGCAGGCACCGCAAGUUGGAGGAAGGUGAAACUUGCACAGAGCCAAAUAGAUGAAGCCUUGAAGAUGGAACUUUGAACUUGGUUGGUAGGUGGCUAUGGCGGGGCGACAACUAUAUCAAGAGACAAUUUCAUAUUUGGGAGUGAGGGAAUGAGGGCCACGUCAUGUUCAUGUAUGUAACUUGCAAAAAAAUUGUACAAUUUUCCAUGGGAAAAUUAUGCUCUCCCCACGUAGCUUCUCCUCUAAUAGUUGAGGAUGAAGGAGAUAAGCAAUCAGACAAUGGGAAAAUUUUCAAGUAUGGUGUUUCGGGCAGAGGCACUCAGAAAACACACCUAAGUAUUCCCCUAAAUAAACUCAUGCUUGCAACACAUGAUCUUUAAUGUGUGCCAUUGUUCGUGGCCAUGAAGAUUGACAUGGGGGUGCUAAUAUGCCAAUUUUGCUAGCUAUAAUCCUUUUGUCUUCAUCACUUAUUUCCUUAACAUAGAUUACAACUCCUAAUUAAUUACCUUGUCCUACGCUCUUUCCGCGGCUUUUCACAGCACACCCACCUAUUUUUACACUCUCAUUUCCUUCAAUAAUUAAUCUCCCUCCAAUACACAUUUUAAUCCCCUACCCCAAAAACUCCCUCCUUCUCUCUCUCUCUCUCUCUCUCUCUCUCUCUCUCUCUCUCUCUCUCUCUCUCUCUCCCGGAAGAUUCCUGAGAGAGAGAACGAACAUCCCGUAUAUAUAAUUAAUAGCAGCACAUAUGGCUUCCACAACCGAAACUAAUCAACCCCGCUCCUCCGACCAACCCGCAACACAAUCAUCAGAAGCCCACCAACCUCGAGCCCCCAUUGACCCCUACCCCCCGCCCGCCGGGGGCACCUAUCCGCCAUCCAACAUGAGCUACGCGCACCCACAAGGAUACCCCACCGUAGCGCCCCCCUACCACGGGUACCACCCGAGCGCCUACAACCCUUAUUACGGGGACCCCUACUACACCACCACCUCCUACAACCAAGCUGACGAGGCCGCCAGCAGCUGCUUCCGGUGCUUCUGCAUCAUCAUGUUCCUCCUCGUCAUCUUCACCCUCCUUGCCAGCAUCGUCAUGUUUGUCGUGGUCCGCCCGGAAACCCCGGCCUUCAAGGUCGAGUCCUUUAGCGUCUCCAACUUCAACCUCGUCCCAGGGAGCAAAGUGCUCUCCGGGAAAUGGGAGGCCUCCAUCUACGUGGACAACCCCAGCUACAGGAUGAAGUUGGAGAUAGACAGGUGGGAGACCUCCCUGUACCACAAGGACAACUAUCUCGCGAUGGGCUCCGUCAUGCACUCCAUGAAUCUCGAAUCUCGGUCAAAAGGCACGAUGCACAUGAAGAUGGAGACGUACAAUACAACGGCGAGCAGCGCGGUAGAGGACAUGGAGAAGGAGCAGAAGGAGGGCGGGAACGUGAGCUUCAAUUUGAGGUUGACGCUUUCGUACGACAUGAAAGCCAGUGGUUUUUUGUAUAAUCACUAUAGUAACUACAGAAGUGGGACCCUCCGGGUGAAAUGCUCGGAUUUGAAGGUGCCGCUGCCGGCGGGGUCAAAUACUGGCAGCAUGCCCAGUGGGAGCUCGAAGGCAUGCGAUAUCUCCGAUGGUUUCUGAUUAUUUAGUCAUAGACGAGAAAUGGGUCGGAUAUUUUUUGUAUGGUCUCUCGGUCUCAUUUACUUUCUUCCCAUGUCUCCUCCAUAUGUGGGAAUUGUGUAUUUGGCUAACUUAUAUUAGACGAAGUCAUAUGUUCAUAAUUUUAGAAACCCUUAAAUCUGUUAAUUUUAUUGUAGAAAAUUCUUUAGACUAUUGUUUCUAGGAUUUCUUGUGCUUUGUUUAAUUUUAAUUUUGUUAUAACUAUAUAGUGACACAUAAUGACUAACUCGGGAUCUGACCGUAUUUCUCUUUUCAGUAUUAAAAGGCAUUAGUCAUAUUAUUUCAUGUUUGUAUCGAAUUACACAAUACUAACCGAAGUUAUAGAAGAUUCUUAAUCCAUUCAUUAAUCAUGUAUGGUUAACUAAAUGCAAAAUUUCUCAACUUUAACAUAAGUUACUCAUUCUUUGAUAAAAACAUAUAUAUAGUUUAUAUUCAAUUGAAUAUGUUUGGAUAAAUUUUAGCUUUCGUUAUUGACCAAUGAUAUGGAGAACACUGCACAAUGUGAUCCGCGAUCGUCCCUUCAUGUCUAUUGUUUUUGAGGCACUUUGCAAAUAAGUCUCUCCAAAUUCUAUUUCAUAAUCAAAUUUGAACUAAAAAAAUAAACCUUUAGACCCGACUUUUAUUGAAUCUAAUAAUACCAAUUGAUAGGUCAACAGCGUUUAGCUCACUGAAAAAGUGAUAUUGACAGGAGAAUAAUUAUGUAGUUUAGACUAUUCAGUCCUGAUCUCUCAGACCACAAGAGUCCAAGAAAUUGUGGUCACCCACCGUUGAAUAUUAAUCCAAUGGUUCAAAAAAGUUUCUUAAAAUGAGUACAAGAGUGAGUGAACCGUUAAAUUUACAUCCAACGAUGAAUGACCAUAAAUCUCUUGGACCCCUGUAGUCCAAGAGAUCAGAACUGCUAGACUAUUAUCACCAACAUUAGGAUGUGUAUUGCACUAAUUGUGUUUUUUCUUCGUGAAAAAGCUCCAUUAAACGAGUUGACAAAACAUCUAUAAAAAGUGUUAGGCUCAACAUUAUGCUUAAAGCAAAGGCCACCAAAAAAAAAAUAACGAAGUAGGAGUCCAACAAACACGCAUAUGUCCAUUUGGGCUUUAUCGAUUCAAAUACGCGGAGCGGGUAACCGCGAACCCGAACCCGCUUCGCAUAAGAAACAGAUAGGGACAAUGACGAGCCGACAAGUGUCACCACCGUAGAAGGCGGGGAGAGAUUCCUCAGUGCGGCGCUUCAACUUAAGUCUACGCCCUCUGCCAAACAAAAAAGAAUACAAAAAGAAAAAACAUAGAAUUACGCGUUAUUUGCCAAGCAAUUCUAUCAACAAUCAAACUGUAGCCCUCAAGCAACUUUGUGCUCUCAGAAAUUUUUUUUUUUUUUUUGUGGUAAUUUUUUUUCGCAUAGUAUAUCUAUCGUAUCGACCGACCAAACACCUCCUCCUCUACCUCUACGCCUACCUUUUAUUUUUUCCUUACCUCUCUGUCUCUUGGAAACCAAAAACUCAAUUAGCUCUCUCCGCUCUCAAAUGGCUACCUCAGCUGCCGGCGCCGAUGAUGGUCGUAACAAGACGGUGACCGGCUACCCAGUUGAGCAGGGUCAAUUCGCAGCCGGCUACCCAGCCGCCGGAGCCUACCCCUACGUGGCCCCACCGCCGCCUCCUCACGCCAACACUUACCGGCCCAUGGGCCCACCUCCUUACUACGCCCCUCGGCCCACUGGGCCCAUCACGCCCAAUAGGCCCACCCUCCUCUGCCGCCUCCUCAUUGCCGCCAUCGCCGUCUUCGCCAUCAUGUCCCUCGUCUUCUUCAUCGCCUGGCUUGCACUCCGCCCCCGCCUCCCCGAGUUCCGGGUCGAAUCGGCCUCCGUCUUCCCGCUCAACGCCACUGGCUCCGAGCUCACCGCCACCUGGGACCUCACCCUCCUUGCCAACAACCCCAACCACAAGCUCAGAAUUUACUACGACAGCAUCCAGGCCUCACUAUUCUACGGCGACGAUUACCGGCUCGCCACGACGUCGUUGCCUCCCUUUGUUUUGACCAAGAGGAACCAGACGCGUGUCGGGUUCAAGCUGGCGACGGUGGGGGAGUACGUCGGCAAUUACGUGGCCAAGGGGAUCUCCGACGAGAGGGAUCGUGGGUCGGUGAGGUUCGGGCUAGGAGUUUUUGCUUCGGUUCGGUUUAGGUCUGGAGUGUUCCAGUCGAGGCCUCGCGUGUUGCGGGUCUUCUGCGAAAGGGUCGAUUUCGGGUUUGCCCAGAAGAAUGGGACGGGGACUUUGACGGGUCAGUCAAGUCCGUGUGUGGUUGACGUGUGACUGUGAGUAUAAUUAGUCCAUUGGAUUAACACAAAUUGGUAAAUGCUAUAUUUAGUCGUUGUUCAUGAUUUUGGGUUAUGGAAUAUAAUUCGUGAUCUUCUGAAUCCAAUUUCUCUCUGUUCUUUUAUGCUAGCUAAUGAUAGUAUAUUUUUUUUCAAUUAUUUUAUUAUGAUUUCUACUAGUUUUCUUUGUUUUGGAGGUAAAUACCAUUUUCCCCGUUUUGCAUAUGCUAAUUGGCAUUUGAAGUGUUGAGAUGGGUUAGAUGAUAAUAUGGGACAUUGCCACAUUAGGUUUUGUAUUUGUGUUAGAAUAAAGAGCAAUGUGAUUGUUUUUAGUGUUCUGGGGCUUUGUCAUUGUGAUUCAAACUCCAGAGCCAGAGACUGUAGGGUAUUGAGUGUUGCUUGGUGAAGCUUUAAUCGAGUGUUGACUCAUUUGGUAGAGAUGCAUAAAUGCAUUCUGAAUGGAUUAUAGGGUUUUCCCUCCACCCUUGAAUGCCACUUACCACACAGUCACAAGGAAAAAAGUAAGUGCGCACCAACCGUAGUUGUCUCCAAGCAUAACAUUUGAAGAAACUCAUCCCUAUUGUUUGUUAAUGAUAUCAAACCAUUGUUCGUGCCUUCAAAGAUUAUGCGCUUGAGAAGAAUGGUAAAGACUUUAUUUAAGCAUUGGAUUUGUGGUAGUGGCUACUAAGCCUCUCUGUUAGGAUGUCUGUUUUAUUGUGCUUAAUGCUGGUUGUAAGUCUAGGGUUGUGAUUCAAGCUGUUGUCUUGUGAUUCAAGUCAAUAGUAUUGGAACAGUACAAGAUUUUCCUGGGGAAGGGGAGCUUGGUCUACUAGGAACUAGCAAGUAGUGUGAUUUUACCUAUGUAUUGAGAAAUUGUUUAUUGUUUUGCUCUCGAAGAAUUAAAACGAAUCUCUCUACUUACUUCAUCAUCGUAGAGAUCAAUUCUUUUUAUAGGAGUUUGGUGUUAUUUGUUCUCUCUCUCUCUCUCCGCCCAUAGGAUAACAUCAUAAUGUUUAUCUUUUCAGACUCUGAAUUUGUGCUCAUGUAAAUGUGGUGUUGAAUGUUUGCUUGUAAUGGUCGAAUUGUGCUUUAGGCACUACUGUACGAGUAACGAUUAAGAGGAGUGGCUAGGUAAAGACUGUAGUUGCAGUUAAUUUGACUUCCAAACCAUUUCUACUACAAUGUUAAGUUUCAUAGUAGGUUAUGAUUUGGGUUCAGUUGAUAUAUGAUAAUAAUAGAACUGUUGUCAAAUGUAAAGUCAUUCUCUUUCUGAUUUUGUAGCUGUUGUCAAAUGUAAAGUCAUUCUCUUUCUGAUUUUGUAUUUACUCCUUUCCUGGCUGCUUUCCAUUUAGGUUUUUUCCUUUGAAACUCAGCUGCAUGUCUUCUUGUAGGAGAAAAAACACCAAACUUUUGUUCUGGCAACAUUUUAAUUACGUCAUACUGUAUUGCAUGUUUUCUGCUCCAUUUUAACUGUGUCAAUAUGCUGUUAAGUUGGCCAAACAGGGAACUUUUUAUGUUUGCUCUGUACUACUACGUCAAAGCUUGCCUGUAUUAGCUUUCACACUUUCAGUAUAGUUCUGAGCUGAUGUAGUUGCAUUGUUAUUGUUGAAGUUUUGAUUUUGAAAAAUUCAGAAUUUUGGGCUCAGAAGCCAUGCGAGGUUGGAGAUUAGAAAAGGGGCAUUGCUCGUCUUGCCCAAUGCGUUGAUGUUACUUGUUUUUAAUACUUAAGAGAAGCAAUUAUGUGCUUCUGAAGUCUCUUAUCAUACUUGAAUUUUAGUACUGGUUUUAAACUAUUAAUCUAGUGAUGCCAAACACUGUCCUUUUGUCCUUGAUGCUGAAGUGGUUUUAGUUUUACUUUGAUUUUGAUGAUUUCAUUUCUGAUGUUUAUAGGUGUUAGAGGUUAAUGUGUGUUGAGAUUGUUUUUCUGCUCUUUUAUUUUCUGUUUGUGGUUGAAACUUGAAACAUAGAAUCAGUUUCCAAAAAAUUGAAUUCAGUAUUUCAGGUUGGUACUGUAGUUCCUAUGAUUGGUGACAUAGUUGUAGCUCAACAGGUAGUUCAUAUUUUCCUAAUUUUAAAAGAACUUUUUAUUUUAAAGGUCCUUUUAGUGACAUUUUUGUUUUUUACUUUUAAGCUUUUCUUUAACGAGGUAGAGGGGGAGAGGUGGACGGUUCUUAGGAGAAAGGUGAGGGAAAAAGGAGAGAAAAAAUACUUCAAAAGUUCUAAAAAGUAAAAAAGCAAUUUAAAUGGCUUUUAGCCUGUUACUUUUAAUUCUCUCUACUUCUCCUGUCUUGUUCAUCUCUUUCAUCUCCUCCAUCACUUUAAUUUUCUAUAAAAGCUGUUAUCAGGGAUGCCUUCACUCCGCGUUUUUCUUUUGCUGGCAUUUAUGUAGUAGGCUUCAUCUAUUAAAGAGUUAUGAUUAAUCAAGGCAUGAGGCAUCAGUUUCAGUUAGGCGAAAUUAGGUUUUCAACGAAGAAAUAAAGCCUUACAAGUUCCUCGUCAUUACUUGCAUGUACUUUGCUUUUGAACUAUUCCAUCAUCAGUUCAACAAUUGAUUGAUGUGUAGAAUUUGGUCUUGGGUGUAUUGACUUGAGAUAGGUUGAAGAUGUAUUUAGUUGGUCCAUGCUUAGAGCUCUGAUUUGCUGGCUGAAAUGGUUUAACUUUUGGAAAUUUUCCUCUCUAUUUCACCGGUUGUACAGAAUCAUGUGUCUAUUAUGACGUGACACCUUAACGACCCUAAACUCGGACUAGAAAGAGUUCAAUCCCUCCCUCCUAUAUAUAAGUAUUAGCAAUUGUAUAGGUAUCUUUGGUUCCACCGCUUGUUUAAGUAAGGAGGCAGUGGGAUGAAGUGGUUGCUUGGCCGACAGAGCUUUCUGGGGUGGCCUAAAUAACUUUAUGAAAGCCUAUAUAUUAUGCAGAUAGCAUUGGCAAUGGAAUUAUUUAUAAACUAAUAACACUUUGAUUAUAUCUUAUAAACAUGAUAAGAUUCUCAGACACGAUAAUAGUGUACAUAUUUGUAUAUCUCCAGUUGGACAUGAUUAGGACGCUAGUGGAUUGAGAGAGAUUGACAUUGAUUUUUAGUGCAUGUAAAAGUAAUUGUGUAAAUAUCUGGGAUGUUUCUUCUUUUUUUUCUUUUUCUUUUUUUCUGUUUUCUUAUGGGCCCGUGAAGAAACAGCAUUGGAAUGAAAAUUCUGUGUCCAAAUUAGGAACGCGUGAGGGAUGAGACAUGGUUGCCCUUUGUCAUUUUCUACUGCUGAUUAGGACAAUCAGAAUGUGGAGGGAGCUAUUUGAUUGAUGAUUGAACAUAAGAAACUAAUCAAAUUAUCUGUUGUGAAGUUUAAUAAAAGAAGAGACACAAAUCUACAAGUCUCACGCAAUGAAAGCUAAAUCCAGAUUUAUUUUUGUAAGAAAACAAAGUCGUCCUACUAGCAAUUGACUGAUUUCACUUGACCAAAAGGUUGGGAUAGCAAUUUUUCCCGUCACACCCAAUCUCCACAUUGAUCUGUCCCGAAUGGGAUGGGGAUUGAGGCUUCUGCCCUUUCUCCAUCCCAUUCCGUUUUACAACUAUCAUGUUAAAGAAUGAUAAUUGUUUUGUUGACUCUUAAAUUUAAGCUUUUAUGAAUGGGAUGUGGAAUUCGAAUCUCAAUGAAGAAGACGAUAUCCAAUAGGGUUUGAGGCGGGAUUGUGGAUAUUUAACUUUUAUGGGGAUGGGGAUGAGUGUGAAAUAAUUGUUUCUUCGAGUAAAUUUUGUUAGGGGUAUAACUUACCACGAAGCUACAAACCCAACAUUAUUGCAUAUGUUUCUUCCUUUGCAGGCGAAAUAGUCCUCUGGGAGGGUGCAAAGGAUAGGAAGCUUCUCACUGGCCAUGUGACGGCAUGUGGAAAAUACGUAACAAAAGGCUUUACUUGGUGGCGUUUACACCUACGCCAUUAUUAUUAUUAGGCACCAUUUUAUAUUUAUAUUCAAAACUCAAAGCAGUGCAUGAACUGAUGCAAAAAAACAAAAACAAAAAAGAUUUAGGGGCUUUUAAGAUAUUUCCAUGUUGAGUCGGUUAGCUUGGCAAGUCAGUUUGAUCUUAAGGCUUUUCAUAAUUCAUUCAUAAUGUAGGAAAACACUUAAAAGGAAAGUGAUUGCUUGCAUAAUUACUUAUGAUAAUUUUGAUCUCCAUUUAAAGGAAAGUGCUUGGAUGAUCCCCUUUUUUUUUUCUUCUCAAAACUUGCUUUCAAAGUUCAUUUUCCAUCAUAUUUCAACUCCUUUUCUUCAAGAUACUUCUACCAUCAUACAUCAUAGAUGCAUCCAAAUGACUAUCUAGGGUUCAUUGGCUCAUCAUCACCCACUAUUAGUUUCACUUUUUUAUUAAUAGGGUGAUCAAUUACCCUUCAAACCAAUUCAAGACAGCUUAAUCAACCCAAUUAGAUAGUCAUCAUUUUGUGUCACCAAGAAUAUUAUCCCUUUCUUUCACCUCCAUGUCUUUUCUUCCCCAUUUUUCUUCUCAUUGUUUUUGGAACUCUCCCCUUCUUAGAAUGACCCACCAAUCAAAGGGUUUCUUUCUUCUCUCUCCCCCAAUGCUUUAUUCCACCAACUUUUUGUUUUUGUCUCUUUCAUUAACCCAUGGUUAACAGAAAGAAGCAUAGCCACAGAUUCUAGUCAGAUUUUAGCAGCAAAGCGCAUGAAGACAACAAACGAAUCCAUUGGGUGCAAGUUGCAUAGAACAAUUUUGGCUUUGGGCAUUCAUAUUAACCACAAAGGUUAGGUUAAAAGUUAAUUGUGAUUUACUUAACAGAGAUUUAAACAGGAAAUUGGGAUUUGGUGGUUUCAAAGAAGAUCUUGUAGGGACAUUUGUAAUUCCCAAAGUAGGGAUAAAGAAUCAGCAUGGAUGUCAGUGCAAGUGCAGAAGAGAAUACCUUUGUGUGUGUAGAAUCUAGUAGGCAUUGGCCACAAACCACCCCACCCUUCUUUAUGGACAUUUGGGGAUAUCCUUGGCUUCUUUUUGCGGCUUCCAUGUUUUGUAAAAGUGCUUUUACCCAAGGCAUUUUCUUCUUGUUUUUAUGAGAAAAUUGAGAGAAUCAGCAGCAAAGAAUUUGGUAAAGGGCCCUCUGCAUUCUCUGGAAACUGCACUAAGUGUACUUGGUUUCUUUGGCCACAGUACAUAAGAGAUGCAACAAGAGGAAAAGAAAACAAUCAAAUAAGUUCUACAGCACCAAGUACCAAAUAAUUGAACUCCAACAUGUCUAUGAGUAAGGCUCCAAUGAUUCAAAUUUUGGGUUUGGUCGUACCCAAAUAGUAAUAUUCUAAAGGAAAAUGCAACUAAGAUCAAAUAUUUCGAGCCGCUUCCGUGAAAAAUUCAAACUUUCUUUUUUAAUACUUCAAUCACAUAAAAAUAUAAACUUUGAGAUUCAAUAGCUAAAUACAUGGCAAUUGAAUCAUGAGCCGAGAUCAUAAAGAGCAUACAAGUAUACAAAGUGGAUGUCAUUGUAGGUGUCAAAUGAGUGAAGAAGAAGAAAAGAGUCAUGUGCUUUUAGGUGUGCCAACUAAUAUUAUCUUUCCAUGGUUUGAUCUCAAGUCUCAUAUCUGGAUGUGGUUUUCUUCUCUUUGGAUUUAUAUAUGACAAUAUAUAUAUAUAUAUAUAUUUAUAUUUAUAUAUAUUUUAAAAAAACAUUUAAAACACCCAAAUUUAUACACCAGUCAUAUUUUAUACUGUAUUUCUUUUUUCUAAUAUUAUAACACUUAAAGAAAACCCAAGUAAAUGACAAAUAGUGUAUCAUAUCCACCCACCAUCUAAUAAUGCUAAAUUAGUAGAAAGUUAAGUCUUUUUUUAGCAGUGUUUCUUUCAUUUGAUCCAAGACUUUUCUACAAGAGGCCUAUGUCAGAAUUAGUUAUUUGAUUUCAUAAGACUCUGCCAGAAUUUGACUCAGCAACAACCAAUUUCUAACCAUGUGUCUUCAAGCCAAGAAAUAAGACAAAGUAGGCCCUUCUGAAGAUUUCAACUUUUGUGAAUUGCUUAACUUUGAGCAAAUUGAUGGUGCAUAGAAGAAAUUUGAUUCCCUAUAUUUUUUUCUUCUCACUUGCUAAUAUCCAGUCAUUCGGUUGCAAACGACAAUGACUUUCAUUAAAUGAAAAUUGUUUCAUAGGAAAACAUCCAAAUGGUUAAGAACUUAAAGAAAGUUGAUGUUUGAAGUAUAUUUUAGAGAGGGGAUAAGGAGAACAACACUUUCAGAAACAAUGAAGGAAGAGAAAAUUUUAUAUAUUGAUUAAGAUUAUCGACCUGAUAACGAGAGAUUCACCUUAAUCAGCGACUCAUUGUCCGUACACAUAUCAAUAAUUUUCAUGUAACGUAAUCUUGUUCGGCAAGCUUCUAUCACCAUUUGAGAGAGAGAGAGAGAAAAAAAAUUGUAUAAAAUUAAGAGGUAGAUAAAAAUUGGUCAUAGGUUUGGUCAUUGGUGGUUGAGGAGACUUUUAGAGCUCGAUGUCGAUACUAAAUGUGUGAAAAAACACAUCAUGGUCUUGUAGUUCAUAUUCACACUUGCCAACCGACAUAAUCAAUUUCUAGUUUCUACCAUCAAUAAUGUAUUGGAGUGUAGUUUGGUUUGGUGCUUUUAACUAAAAUUAGUACAUGUAUUGAAAUUAUUGCUCUCUUUUUUUGUUGCCCACGUACCCUUUUACCAUCUGCUGGGAAAGUGCAGUGCAGCUAACCCUACUUUUCCUUGAUUAAAAAAUUAUUUUUAUAAAAUAAAUAAAUAAAUAAAAAAACCGUUCUCAAUGUUGUUUUCUAAGUAACAUUUUAGGAUUUUUAAAAAGCAAAACAAAAUAAUUAAAGAAACAAAACUGAUGAAAGAAAGGCUAACAAUUUUCUUUCUGGGAAAGCAAUGGGUUCUUUAUGAAAAAGGGUUUAAGCUUUUAAUCCACCCAAACAAAGUCUUUGUUUCUAAUUCAUCAGAGGUUAUGAAAUUUUCAAUACAUCCACAUCCAAAUCAUGUUUUUUUUUUUCCUUUUUUUUUUCUUUUUUUUUUUCCUUCUAUGUUGCAUCAUUGUUAGGCUUUAGGCUUUAGGCUUUAGCUGGUGGGAGAAGUAAUAUUUUGGAACCCAGAGGUUUCCUCUGUCAUGAUAAGUGGGGCCAAGUGGGUGCAAGAGACGUGUCAAUUAGACUUUUCCCAUGUAUCCAUAUUCAAUCGGACGGUGGUGAAGAGUCUUGCUUUUCCAAACACUUUAUUGAAGUCACAAUCGGCCCAUUCACAUUCUAAAUUCUAGUAUAGAAAGAAAUUUUAAAAAAUAUGUUAUUUUCUUUAGGCUUUUUGUCUUUCUGAGUUGAUUAAGAAAAAGCAGUGAGCUUCACUUUUUGACUAAGCGAGCACAACACAACUGAGGGUCAUGGAUUAAUACAAUCGUACUCAUUAAAACUCAUUUAUAUUGUUUUUUUAUAUAAAUGAUAUUCUAUUUUAAUUUAUUUUAAACUACAUAGAGGGGUAUUCAAACUCGGAUGUAAACACUGAAAUUCACUUACAUUAACAAUGAAGAUCGAUGGCAGACAAUAUUAAUGAUAUUUUAUUACAUAUAUAACUAUAUAUCUUGAAGCUAAUGCCAAUAGCGUAUUACUUGGAUCUGGUUUUGAAAAGAAUUAGGGUUUGAGCAACAAGAUCUUUCUUAGUGACUUGAGCCUCUAUAGUUUAUUGAAUGGACUUUAAUUUUGAUUAGUUGUAAAAUAAAGAAGAUUAAUAACUUGUUUUGAAACACUGAAACACAUGAGGUUUUUGAGGAGAAUUAUGAAGAAAAGAUAUGAACCAACCAUUGAGAUAACAUGUGGGUGAGCUCGACAAACAAUUUGAAAUCCUGUUUGUUGAAUAAAGCCAAGCAUAGAAAACGAUUGGUCUUAACCCAUCACACCAUAUGGGCAUCUUAACUAGGACACAUCAUGCAGUGAACAAAAACCCAACAAAUUUCAUCUAAGUUAUUUAGAUCAAAUCAUAUAAAUAAUAAACCCAAUUAGUAGCUAUAAUUGAUGAGCCUUGUCAAGUGACACAUGAUGACAUAAGGUAUUUGUGUAAUUUAAUUGGUUAAUGCCCAUGGUUAUGAUUGAGUAAUAAGAAAAACCAAACAAUGCCUUGGUACUGAAAAUUGAUGGGUCACCAAUUUCCACUACCUUGCUACACUACCACCAAACAACUCAAAAGCAACCAAAAAGUUCUUUAAAAAAUAAAAGUUAUUGGUUAGUGCUGGUUAACGAUUUAUAAUAUUUGGUUCAUUGUCGAUUAUUUGAUUGUUAUUAUAAAUAUUAACUUUAAUAGACAGUUACUCAUAUAAAAAAUAGAAAUUCAGAGUAAUUUUGGAAUGAGACCGUAAUCUAAUAUUAAACAUUUUUUUUACGCGAAUAAAAAACUAAUUUUCCUCAUAAUUAGUGAAAGUACUUUGAAAUGUCCCUAAACACAUUACACCUACUUUAGCAUACUUGCUUUUCCACCAUACAUACAUGAUCACAUAGAUCAUCAUCAUCUUCAUUAAAAACCAUGUAAUAUAUAUACCCCCACACACAUCCCCAACCAAAGCUCAUUUACUAAAGGGUCAACUCUCAAACCCAACUCUAACUCAACUCCAACCGUCCUUCCUCUCUCUCUCUCAGUCUCCCUCUCCACCUCCACCGCAAACUACCGCGGCCGCCGCCAUGUCGUACAAGGACUGCGGCCAACACGGAUACAACAAGCGGCGAAGGAGGUUUAAACGCUGCUGCGCCGGGCUCCUAAUCUUCAACUUCAUCCUGCUCGUCACCAUCCUCAUCGUGUGGGCCAUCCUCCAGCCCUCCAAACCCCGCUUCAUCCUCCAAGACGUCACCGUCUUCAACUUCAACAACUCCGUACCCAACGUCUUCUCCUCCAGCUUCCAGGUCACCGUCUCCUCCCGCAACCCCAACGACAAGAUCGGCAUCUACUACGACAGGCUCAACAUCUACGCGACAUACCGUAAUCAGCAGAUCACCUUCUCCACGCUCAUCCCGCCGGUGUACCAGGGUCACAAGGACGUCAACGU
rnacentral:lncRNA from 1 species